rnacentral:rRNA from 1 species
GACGAACGCUGGCGGCGUGCUUAACACAUGCAAGUCGAACGGAAAGGCCCUGCUCUUGUGGGGUGCUCGAGUGGCGAACGGGUGAGUAACACGUGAGUAACCUGUCCUUGACAUUGGGAUAACUUCAGGAAACUGGGGCUAAUACCGGAUAGGAGCUCCUGCUGCAUGGUGGGGGUUGGAAAGUUUCGGUGGUUGGGGAUGGACUCGCGGCUUAUCAGCUUGUUGGUGGGGUAGUGGCUUACCAAGGUUUUGAAGGGUAGCCGGCCUGAGAGGGUGGCCGGCCACAUUAGGACUGCGAUACGGCGCAGACUCCUACGGGAGGCAGCAGUGGGGAAUAUUGCACAAUGGGCGGAAGCCUGAUGCAGCAACGCCGCGUGCGGGAUGACGUCCUUCGGGUUGUAAACCGCUUUCGCCUGUGACGAAGCGUGAGUGACGGUAAUGGGUAAAGAAGCACCGGCUAACUACGUG